rnacentral:lncRNA from 1 species
GUUUCAUAAUAGACAAUAUCAUCGUGGACAAAGUGAUCAAAAAUAUUUUUGACAUGAUCAUAGGAAUAGGGAUCAGGUUCGUGAGUGAGAACAAGGUCAUGGUCAUCAUGGUACUCAUUCUCUUCCUUGUUGUAAGGAGCGUUUCUUUAGAGACAUUGACUUAGAUACUCCUACUUUCGAUAGUUGCUUAGAUCAUGAAAUUUUUACCCAAUGGAACACCCUUACACAAUGGAAUCGGCUAGUGACUGAGUACAUUGCUCAAUUUGAUGAAUUUCGAGUGAAAUGUCAUGUCGUUGAGGAUAAGGCCCUGACUUUAAGUAGGUUUAUACAAGGUCUAAGAGAUGAACUUAGGCGUGAGCUUUUCUUUCGAUGCAUCACUACUCUUGAUCAAGUUUACUCUUCAGCUCGGGGCUACGAAUUACUUAUUAGUAUUCCAUGUGAAAAGCGCGACCGCCAUCAUUCUCCCAUGUCAUUAGUGCCACCUCAACAUGAGUCUGUCCUAGAGCCUUCCCCGUCUGGUGUUCCUCCCAUUUGGAAAAAUAAGUGUAAAGGUCGUGAUAGUCCAAGGCCCCCUUCUCCUUAUAGAAGGCGUAUUGACAACCAUUCUUCUGUCUCAUUGGCUCCACCUCCUCUUGCUAAGUCUCUUUUAGGACCUCCCCCGUCUAAUGUUUCUCAAAUCUUGGAAAAUAAGGGUAAAUUUUUUGAAACUCCAAGGACUUCUUCUCACCUUCUAUGCAUCAGCUGUAAGGCCGCAUCUCUUCCAAAUGUCCUAACCGAACCUUAGUCAUAGAAGAACAAAAGGAUGUAAUAGAAGAGUCUUGUGAUGACUUGAAUGAUAUUGAGGACACUUCCUUAUGUAGUAUCAGGACUUUUCCUAUGAAUCUAGGGGUUGUACCCCUUGUUCUCGAUACCCCUCAGUUAAAUGUUGUGUGUCAUACUCUUUUCCAACUUAAAGGUACGGAUGAUUUGUGUAAUCAUGUCCUUUUCAAGGAAAAUCUUGAGAAUUGGGAUUUGAUCAUCCCAACAAUUCAAAUUGCAUAUAACAAUUUUGUGCAUCGAUUUAUCGGUACAAGUUCCAUCGAAGUUAUUCAUGGUUAUAAGUCUAGGAAACCUUUAGACCUUAUUCAAAUGUCCCCACAUACUAGUAUGUCUGCGUCAGCUGAGGC